rnacentral:rRNA from 1 species
ACGUAGGGUGCGAGCGUUGUCCGGAAUUAUUGGGCGUAAAGAGCUUGUAGGCGGUUUGUCGCGUCUGCCGUGAAAAUCCGAGGCUCAACCUCGGACUUGCGGUGGGUACGGGCAGACUAGAGUGUGGUAGGGGAGACUGGAAUUCCUGGUGUAGCGGUGAAAUGCGUAGAUAUCAAGCGGAACACCAGUGGCGAAGGCGAGUCCCUGGACAACUCCUGACACUGAGGCACGAAAGCUAGGGGAGCAAACAGGA